UUUUAUUAUUCAUAGUAUGAUAACAAGCAUGAUGCAAAAGUGAUACAGCAAACAACACAGAUUAACAGUUACAUUUAAUUCCUCAUGACGAAAUAGUUACUUGCAAAGAGUAACACAUGAUUUGAGGUUAUUUACACACUGCUCUUCAAUACAAUUGAAGUUGAAAGCUUGGCAAGUCACAAAAAUACAGGUCACGAAUGGAUUUCGACAAUUAUCCAAACAUUGACCCAAUCCCACCUGCUGCCCAUUCACAUA
rnacentral:lncRNA from 1 species